AGCGAACGCUGGCGGCAGGCUUAACACAUGCAAGUCGAGCGGGCCCUUCGGGGUCAGCGGCAGACGGGUGAGUAACACGUGGGAACGUACCCUUUGGUUCGGAAUAAUGCUGGGAAACUAGCGCUAAUACAGGAUACGCCACUUUGGGGAAAGGCUCGCUGCGGAAGUGUCGGCCGGCGUCUGUUUAGCUUGUUGGUGGGGUAAGGGCCUACCAAGGCGAGGAUCAGUAGCUGGUCAGAGAGGAUGAGCAGCCACACUGGGAAUGUGACACGGCCGAGACUCCUACGGGAGGCAGCAGUGGGGAAUAUUGGACAAUGGGCGCGAGCCUGAUCCAGCCAUGCCGCGUGAGUGAUGAAGGCCUUAGGGUUGUAAAGCUCUUUUGUCCGGGACGAUAAUGACGGUACCGGAAGAAUAAGCCCCGGCUAACUUCGUG
rnacentral:rRNA from 1 species